rnacentral:misc_RNA from 1 species
GACAUUCCAAUUGACUUCUGCUGUCCAUGCGCCUUAACGGAAUUAGACCCAUCAGAUACAUGGCCCAUCCAAUAAUAGGAAUUAGGAAAAUUGCAGUCUUGCUGAUGAACUUGAAGUUUCUCCCAAGAGUAAGUAAUGUAUAUAUGUCCAAAAAGCUCUGAUGGUUGGACACAUAUACUGCAGGAGUAUCUGGAGAAGGAAGAUUCUCCAAGCCCUCAAACUCGACUCUAUAAAAUGGUGUAAUGGUCAAGGUUGCCCAUGUCCUGGCAACAAGAUGGUGAGCCUUCCUAUGGUAUCGAUCAAAUAACAGUACAAAAGGAUGUUGCACAAGCAUGAUCACGAACAAAAAGAUGGCAGAGAAAGCACUGACAGCGUAAAAGCAAAUUGCUCUUACUUUUGACCUCAACUCUAGUUCUGACAGUGGAUAAGCAGCACCGGCUGAGCUGGUAUUAGCAAGUUCGGACCUUGCAAUAAUGUCUCUCAAUGAUCUAUAUUGUCUAUAAAAGCUGUUAUUUCCAAAAGCGC